rnacentral:misc_RNA from 1 species
AUCAUCAUCCCAAUCAUCUUCCCAUUGUUGGGUUACUUCUUUGCCUUUCUCUUUGUCCUCCCACUCUUGAUCAAUUGCAAACUCCUCAAAUUCGUCAUCGUCUUCGAAUAGAUCCAUCUUCACCUCUUUAGCCGCUGGCUUUGGUUGUUCAGUCGCCAUUGCUACUUCAGAGAUUUGAGGGAAAAUAAUUUGCUUGUUGCUCG